UGGUGUUCUGCUUCUCUUCACCUGCCGUCUGUUGGACAGAAAACCUGAAAACGAUCUGCUGUUAACAGGGUUCAACUGAAUUUUCAAAAGAAGCUGAAAUGAAUUACUGAGGUGGUGCUCAAGUCCAGGUGUGGCCAACCGCAGCUUUUGUCACAUGAUUCUCUCUUUUAUCAAAGUAAAACUAAACAAGCUCGAACGCUUCCGGUUUCUCUCCUUCCAUGAAUUCAGACAUAAUGCGCCACAGGAGAAACUCUGAGUAAAAGAAAGCUGAAUAUUACAGAAACACGGCAUCAACACUUACAGGGAAAAUGCGGAGGAGCAGCAAAGAGCAUGUACCUCCACGAAUGUCAGAUGUAUUGAACAUUGUGCUGUUGGGCAAAACUGGAGCAGGAAAGAGUGCUUCAGGAAACACCAUCCUGGGUGGAGAUAGAAAAACAUUUAAAGAAGAUUUUUCCCCUGAAUCUGUGACCACAAUCUGUAAGGAAGCAUGUACAGAAAUAGAUGGUCAAAAUAUCAAUGUGAUCGACACCAUUGGAUUUUCUGAUAAUUCACAGAAUAUUACAGAUUUGAAAUCCCAAAUACAGCAGAUAUUUAAAUGUGCAUGUGAUGGUCUUGAUGUGAUUUUGCUUGUUAUCAAAUUGGGCGAGAGAUACAUGGAGGAGGACAGAAAGACUGCGAAAUGGAUCAAAGAGAACUUUGGAGAAAAGGCCUCAAAACACACAAUAGUGCUCUUUACUCAUGGAGAUCAAUUACAGGUGCCAGUGGAAGUUUAUUUGAGUAAAUAUGAAAUGUUGAGGUCAGUAGUUGAUCAGUGUUCAGGAGGAUGUCAUGUUUUUAAUAACAAAUCUGAAGAUCGCUCUCAAGUCACUGAACUUCUGAAAAAAAUUGAGUUACUGAAGAUGACGAAUGGAAGCAGGCGAUACACUAAACAGGACUAUAAGGAGAAUCAAGAUAAAAUCCUACAUGAAAAAUUUCAUAGAGGAGCAGUAGUAGGAGGUGCAGUUGUGGCAGCAGCAUUUUGUGUAGGAAUGGUUUUUAUUUUCAAGAAAAUGUAAAAAUUCUAAAAAAGCUAAAAAUUAUAAAAUGACUGAACUACCCAAAGUAAUACAUCAUGUUACAUCAGGGAAACUGGGGCUAGUUGUCAUAAGUUGUCACUGGAGUCUGUACUCUAGAUUUUGAGUCAAAAACUCUUGCAGCAGUUUUGUAUGUUGGUUUCAAACACUUAGUUCUCAAUAUAUUAUAUCAAAUACUUGUAUGUAUCAUAAGUAUGUAUCAUUCACAGUAAAAUUUCAAUAUGAUCAUAUUUUGAGCUGUUAGCUGAACAAGUGAACACAAUAAAAUCACUGGUUUAAAUUCAGACAAGGUAGAAAAAUGAAGGUAGAUUCUAACCAAAAAUUGUACAGAUCUUUUGUCAGGAUGAGGGUAUUUUUCCAUGUAUGCUAGUUUGGGGAAAGUUUUCACAUAAUGUUUUUAAUUUCAUACAAUUUACUAAUUACAAUAUUUGAUACUUUUUAAUAUUUGAUUAAAGUUAAAGAAUGUAAUUUCACAGACACAAGCGCUACCGAACGGAAUUGCAACAAUAAACAAUGUUUUCAAAACAGCUGUCUGAAUUUGCCCCUCUUCUGCCAUUGAUCAAUCAAUGAGAUAGUCCCGCCCCCAACUAAUCCCAUUGGCUGAGUCAUUGUUAUUGUGUCUGUAUGGACGGGCCGCUCAAAACAAACAGAAUAAUCUUUA